GCCAGACUCCUACGGGAGGCAGCAGUGGGGGAUAUUGCACAAUGGGGGAAACCCUGAUGCAGCGACGCCGCGUGAGUGAAGAAGUAUUUCGGUAUGUAAAGCUCUAUCAGCAGGGAAGAAAAAAGACGGUACCUGACUAAGAAGCCCCGGCUAACUACGUGCCAGCAGCCGCGGUAAUACGUAGGGGGCAAGCGUUAUCCGGAUUUACUGGGUGUAAAGGGAGCGUAGACGGCAAUACAAGUCGGAAGUGAAAUACCCGGGCUCAACCUGGGAACUGCUUUGGAAACUGUAUGGUUGGAGUGCUGGAGAGGUAAGCGGAAUUCCUAGUGUAGCGGUGAAAUGCGUAGAUAUUAGGAGGAACACCAGUGGCGAAGGCGGCUUACUGGACUGUAACUGACGUUGAGGCUCGAAAGCGUGGGGAGCAAACAGGAUUAGAUACCCGUGUAA
rnacentral:rRNA from 1 species